UAAGUCAGCCACGAAUAGGCUAUCCCAACUAACGGCGGGAAAGACUCCACGGAGGGUGUAAGACCCGUGUGGGCGCGUGUUAAAGCUGUGUGGGCUCGGCCUCCAUUCCCUGAGAGUCGCGUUGCUUGAGCAUGCAGCGCUAAGCAGGUCGUAAACUCGAUCUAAGGCUAAAUAUUUCCACAGAACCGAUAGCGAACAAGUACCGUGAGGGAAAGUUGAAAAGCACUCUGGAGAGAGAGUCAAAAGACCGUGAAACCGCUCAGAGUAUAAGCCCAUGGCAGCUUGGAAGGCAUAUCGCUAGCGGGGCAUCGGUCUCCCUUCGCGGGGAGCUGGUGUUACCUUGCUUCUGUUGUGGCUCGUCAUGGUAGGGGGGUCAGGUCCACAUCCCGCCGUCGUGUGGAGAGUUCUUGGGUGUGUUGUGGUUUCUCGGUUGGCUUCGGCUUUCCGGGGGGCUCUUCGUACUUGGUUCUCUUUUAGACACGGACGUUCAGACUCAGUUGUAAGACGCGAUAACCAGCCCACCACGGCACGUUGUGAGGUCACCCACAGGCUCGACUUUCGAUCGUGAGCCUUGACGCCGAGCAAGCACAAUGCGUGUCGCAGAGGUUCCUAACCAGGCAAUGGUGCCAGGAUCGUGGAACGACACGCGCUCAACAGUCAGGUUCGGGCGGAGACAGAGUUCUGGUAUGAUCCUCUUGCGACGAGCCGGCUUCUGGCCGACAUCCGAUGCUCAGGUCUCCCGCAUGUGCCGCGGGAGAUCGCUUUGACGGUCUGGA
rnacentral:rRNA from 1 species